AAGGCUAAAUACUCCUGACUGACCGAUAGUGAACCAGUACCGUGAGGGAAAGGCGAAAAGAACCCCGGCGAGGGGAGUGAAAAAGAACCUGAAACCGUGUACGUACAAGCAGUGGGAGCCCCACCACCAAAGCAUUCUCUGGUGUUGAAGGCCCUGCAAAGCAGCAUCGCGGUGGCGGAGCGUCGUUUGCGACGCCCAACACAAAAAACAAGCGGUGAGUGCUUUGGGGUGGGGUGACUGCGUACCUUUUGUAUAAUGGGUCAGCGACUUAUAUUCUGUAGCAAGGUUAACCGAAUAGGGGAGCCGUAGGGAAACCGAGUCUUAACUGGGCGUUAAGUUGCAGGGUAUAGACCCGAAACCCGGUGAUCUAGCCAUGGGCAGGUUGAAGGUUGGGUAACACUAACUGGAGGACCGAACCGACUAAUGUUGAAAAAUUAGCGGAUGACCUGUGGC
rnacentral:rRNA from 2 species